rnacentral:rRNA from 1 species
GCAGGCUUAACACAUGCAAGUCGAGCGGGGAAGGGUAGCUUGCUAUCUGACCUAGCGGCGGACGGGUGAGUAAUGCUUAGGAAUCUGCCUAUUAGUGGGGGACAACAUUCCGAAAGGAAUGCUAAUACCGCAUACGCCCUACGGGGGAAAGCAGGGGAUCUUCGGACCUUGCGCUAAUAGAUGAGCCUAAGUCAGAUUAGCUAGUUGGUGGGGUAAAGGCCUACCAAGGCGACGAUCUGUAGCGGGUCUGAGAGGAUGAUCCGCCACACUGGGACUGAGACACGGCCCAGACUCCUACGGGAGGCAGCAGUGGGGAAUAUUGGACAAUGGGCGAAAGCCUGAUCCAGCCAUGCCGCGUGUGUGAAGAAGGCCUUUUGGUUGUAAAGCACUUUAAGCGAGGAGGAGGCUACCGAGAUUAAUACUCUUGGAUAGUGGACGUUACUCGCAGAAUAAGCACCGGCUAACUCUGUGCCAGCAGCCGCGGUAAUACAGAGGGUGCGAGCGUUAAUCGGAUUUACUGGGCGUAAAGCGUGCGUAGGCGGCUUUUUAAGUCGGAUGUGAAAUCCCUGAGCUUAACUUAGGAAUUGCAUUCGAUACUGGGAAGCUAGAGUAUGGGAGAGGAUGGUAGAAUUCCAGGUGUAGCGGUGAAAUGCGUAGAGAUCUGGAGGAAUACCGAUGGCGAAGGCAGCCAUCUGGCCUAAUACUGACGCUGAGGUACGAAAGCAUGGGGAGCAAACAGGAUUAGAUACCCUGGUAGUCCAUGCCGUAAACGAUGUCUACUAGCCGUUGGGGCCUUUGAGGCUUUAGUGGCGCAGCUAACGCGAUAAGUAGACCGCCUGGGGAGUACGGUC